UUAUCUGGUUGAUCUGCAGCAACAGGGUCAGAUACCUGUUAUCUGGUCCAAUCGGACCCAAACGGACCCAAAAGGAUCCAAACAGACCUGCCUGCACUCCGAGAGGGGACGGGGCGGGAUGCUGUAAAUGAGAUGGAGGCAGGUAUUAUCCAUUUCAGAGACGUAUGGAGGUCCAAGGACAGCGCCAGCAGGGUAAACAAUGCUUACAGGAGGCGUGAUGAUGUGGGCAGAGUGAGGGAUGGCGGCGGCUGCAGCAGGCUGCUGCAGGCGGCUGCUGCAGGCAGCCGGCGUUAAUGAUGGAACUGCUUCUGUUAGGAUUCAAGUUGGUGUGUGCUCCUCGGAAUAGACAAUCUUCGUGGGAGCGUUCCGGCAGGCUGACGCACCUGAAGCGGAUUUCUGAAAUCGGCUGCAGGAUUCUUAAGAAGCGGUGGAGCAGCCAUUCAUCGCUCGAUGGUCCCACUUGUUGAUUUUGGAUGCUCUGCCUGGAUCCAGCUAGGAACCACGCCCACCCGAACACUGACACCGAUCGCCCUCCGGACUAAACGCUCUCGUCUGCCGCCUGAGCCCGCAACCUUCUCGGAGCCUUUGCACCAACGGAUCCUACCUCCUCCUCGGCAAUCCUCCAUCAGAUGAUCUUACCUGAGCCGCCCAGCCGCUCCGAUCCCAGAGGACAACUUAGGCUCAACAUAUUCAAUAAUAACUGUAACUAAAUCUUUGAAUCAAAACCUUCCGGUCUGAUGUCUAAACCUGCAUGUGGGUAAAGAAACUCAAAUCCAACAUGACAGCUUCAUGAACAAUGCGGCUCCUGGUGGCUUUGUUGGCUCACAGCUUCUGCUUUUUCUGACUCUGCUG